CUAGAGGCUUCUGCAGAAAACCUGUCGGCGGAUAUUCCCAUUCACAGAGUCGCGAUGUCUCCAUCUUCCUUACAUAUGAUCUUCGCAUCUAGGAAAAACUCCCAGUUUCGUGUUUACUUGCGGAAUCUCGUUUCUUCCAGCUCAAUGACGAGACGCAUCACUUAAUCAGAGAGCGAACACUUCGAGCGGUGAAAACUUGAAGGCGACGGCAUGCGACUUCCAAAGACACUAACUGCCAUGCUGGCGGGAUGGCAUGUCAAUGUCUCUUGGCUAACUAGCGAUGUACCACCUAUCUACCACCCACUCUCUCACCCCUUGAAGCGGCUCACUGACUAUGUACGUAUCAUUCGACGAACCCUACUCCACCGCUCUCUUCCCUUUUUUCUCCCUCUCUCUGUCUCGGUUUUCGUUGCCCUUUCUCUUCUUCGCCACUUUUUCUUCCACCAACUGGUGUACCACAUAUCGUUCUCGGGUCUUAUG